rnacentral:rRNA from 1 species
AGAGUUUGAUCAGUGGCUCAGAACGAACGCUGGCGGCAUGCCUAACACAUGCAAGUCGAACGAGACCUUCGGGUCUAGUGGCGCACGGGUGCGUAGCGCGUGGGAAUCUGCCCUUGGGUUCGAAUAACAGUUAGAAAUGACUGCUAAUACCGAAUGAUGUCUUCGGACCAAAGAUUUAUCGCCCAAGGAUGAGCCCGCGUCGGAUUAGCUAGUUGGUGAGGUAAAGGCUCACCAAGGCGACGAUCCGUAGCUGGUCUGAGAGGAUGAUCAGCCACACUGGGACUGAGACACGGCCCAGACUCCUACGGGAGGCAGCAGUGGGGAAUAUUGGACAAUGGGCGAAAGCCUGAUCCAGCAAUGCCGCGUGAGUGAUGAAGGCCUUAGGGUUGUAAAGCUCUUUUACCCGGGAUGAUAAUGACAGUACCGGGAGAAUAAGCCCCGGCUAACUCCGUG